CUACGUGCCAGCAGCCGCGGUAAUACGUAGGGCGCGAGCGUUGUCCGGAAUUAUUGGGCGUAAAGAGCUUGUAGGCGGUUUGUCGCGUCUGCUGUGAAAGGCCGGGGCUUAACCCCGUGUAUUGCAGUGGGUACGGGCAGACUAGAGUGCAGUAGGGGAGACUGGAAUUCCUGGUGUAGCGGUGGAAUGCGCAGAUAUCAGGAGGAACACCGAUGGCGAAGGCAGGUCUCUGGGCUGUAACUGACGCUGAGAAGCGAAAGCAUGGGGAGCGAACAGGAUUAGAUACCCUGGUAGUCCAUGCCGUAAACGUUGGGCACUAGGUGUGGGGGACAUUCCACGUUUUCCGCGCCGUAGCUAACGCAUUAAGUGCCCCGCCUGGGGAGUACGGCCGCAAGGCUAAAACUCAAAGAAAUUGACGGGGGCCCGCACAAGCGGCGGAGCAUGCGGAUUAAUUCGAUGCAACGCGAAGAACCUUACCAAGGCU
rnacentral:rRNA from 1 species